GCCACAUUUGUCAAGAACGUGAAUGGAGGCUAUCAUCUUUCAUACCCCUCAUUGCGAAGCGAACUUGUUUGCCUUCAACUACAACAUCCAGCAACAAAUGUAGACUUUGCAGAAUGGUUAUCUAUUCUGCAUCGCCUGGCCUAUAUUGCCAUGACACUUUGCCGUCAACAUCAGCCAAUGCCGCAUCAAACCGCAGCCAUCAUGUUAUUACUGCAACGCCACCAAACUGAUAGUACGUCAACGUCACUGUCAGCUAAAGUCCACUAUGUCAGGCUGUGGAAAACGAAUAUAGUAUCAGCCUUAAGUUGGGAGAAAUAAUUCCCGGCAGAUAGUUAUACCCAGUGGAAGUACUGGUUGGAGCAGCUUAAAAGAAUUAUGAAAUUUGAGAGACCAAGAUGUUAUGCCAUUGGUUUAAGAAGCUGUAAAGUCGGUUUGCACGUAUUUGUCGCUGGAAGUAAACCAGCAUUGUCAGUGGUGGCAUUGGGAUAACGGACAAAACAAUCUUUGCCCCAACACAACAUCACACCAAUCUACAAUACAAGUAGAACGGCAAGCCACCGCAAUGAAUUUACGAGUGCAAAAGAAGUCGGAUUCGCACAUGCUAGAUGAGUAUAUUGUCAAAGCCCGGCAUUGGUGUUCAGGUGCUUGCAAGAUGUGGUGCUUAACUUUAACGGUGAAUCGUUGUCGGUUGACCUGUCACAGAAAGAAAAAUCUGUAUUGUAUAUGUUUCAUCAAGAUGUAGGUGCCUAUCGGCGGCAAUUUCUCAAUUUUCUCCAGACUAAACGAUGAAAUCUCAGUGAAGCCUCUCUAUCUGAGUCAGUUCUCGUAGGCGGGGACGUUAUUAAUGGCACCCCUGCAGAGACGAUAACCCAGCCUUAUAUACUUAAUUUUUGGUAAUUUUUAAGUAAAUUUUUUUGUAUAAAUAAAUAGUUCUUGUCCUUUUCUAUAUGUGAUACCAAAAACCAUGUAAGCUGUGCUUUGUAUUUUUGUUGUAAUUUUUACUGAAUUCUCCUAAAGCGUUAAAUGUAAAUUUUUAACUAAAAACCUUAUUUUUUAU
rnacentral:sRNA from 1 species